rnacentral:rRNA from 1 species
UUGUUGCCUCGGCGGAGCAGCCCGGCCCCAGUAAGACGGGACGGCCCGCCCGAGGACCCUUAACUCUGUUUUUAGUGUAACUUCUGAGUAAAACAAACAAAUAAAUCGAACUUUCAACAACGGAUCUUUUGGUUCUGGCAUCAAUAAACAACGCAGCAAAUGCGAUAAGUAAUGUGAAUUGCAUAAUUCAGUGAAUCAUUUAAUCUAUGAACGCACCCCCCGCCCGCCUCUAUUCUGGCGGGCAUGCCUGUUCGAGCGUCAUUUCAACCCUCAAGCACAGCUUGGUGUUGGGAAUUUAGUUCUGAACUACGGUCCCCAAAUCUGUCGGCGGUCACGUCUAGCUUCCCAGCGUACUACACACUUUGUUACUGGUAAUCGUCGCCCCCCACGCAAUUUCUAUUUACUUCUUUUGUUGACAUCGGAUCAUGUAGGACACCCGCUCAACUUCACAUAUCAAUA